UAUUAUACGGUCGCGGGGUGCGAGAGCACCGUGAGGAAAGUCCGAGCAGCGUAGGACAGGAUGCCUGAUAACGUCAGGUGAAGGUGACUUCAAGGACAGUGCAACAGAAAUAAACCGCAACGAUUUUUUCGCGCAAGCGGAGGUCGUUGUAAGGGUGGAAAGGCGAGGUAAGGGCUCACCGACGUCGCGGUAACGCGGCGUGCCAUGUAAACCCCAUCCGCUGCAAGAUUGGGCGAUCGUCGUACAGGGUUGUCCGCCCGACGACCGCCGUGAAUAUCGCUUGAAUUUGUCGGCGACGGCAAAUCUAGAUAAAUGACCGUACACGACAGAACUCGGCUUACAGAUAGACUCGU
rnacentral:RNase_P_RNA from 1 species